GACGAACGCUGGCGGCGUGCUUAACACAUGCAAGUCGAACGGAAAGGCCCUGCUUUUGUGGGGUGCUCGAGUGGCGAACGGGUGAGUAACACGUGAGUAACCUGCCCUUGACUUUGGGAUAACUUCAGGAAACUGGGGCUAAUACCGGAUAGGAGCUCCUGCUGCAUGGUGGGGAUUGGAAAGUUUCGGCGGUUGGGGAUGGACUCGCGGCUUAUCAGCUUGUUGGUGGGGUAGUGGCUUACCAAGGCUUUGACGGGUAGCCGGCCUGAGAGGGUGACCGGCCACAUUGGGACUGAGAUACGGCCCAGACUCCUACGGGAGGCAGCAGUGGGGAAUAUUGCACAAUGGGCGGAAGCCUGAUGCAGCAACGUCGCGUGCGGGAUGACGGCCUUCGGGUUGUAAACCGCUUUCGCCUGUGACGAAGCGUGAGUGACGGUAAUGGGUAAAGAAGCACCGGCUAACUACGUG
rnacentral:rRNA from 1 species